UCCCGGCUGGCCUCUCUCUCAACAGUAAUUAUUAGUUGCCACUCUCUCCCAUCUGCCUCUCUUUCUUAUAGAUCUUUCUUAUAUAUAUACUCGCAUACUUCUUCGAUCUCAUGCAAUUAAUAUUAGUUGCAACUCUCUCCCAUCUGCCUGAUCUCUUUCUCUGAUAUAUACAUAUAUAUAUAUAUAAACAAGAAAAUGGUGGAGGCGAAGAAGUUGGAGUUGGCAACAAAAAUGGCGAGUAGUAGUACUACUACUACUGCAAGCUGCACUAGGAAGAAGAAGAAGAAGAUGAGGAGCUUAGUUCCUCCAGUUAGAGGAAGUAUUAAGCGCAGGAUCUUCACCAUCUUAUAUCAGAACUUGAAGCUCGCAAGCCAGCUUGCCGUACAUUACCUGAUCAUGAGCAACAACGUCAACCACAACCACAUGAGUAGUACUUAGCUGGCCAUCCUCUUCUUUUCAUGAUCGUGUACAAGUUACAUACUAUAGGUGGUGAUAUUGGAAUUAUUAAUAUAAUUACGAUGCUUUAUCGAAAGACCUUUGACAAGAAGAAUUGGAGUACCCAAUCAAUUGAGCAUGCAUGAAGAAAGGCACCAAAGAGGAAGACAUGAAGAGUAGCAUCACACAUCAUCCUGCAUUGCAGUGACGAUAUAGUCUAUGAACUAUAAUAAUAUUGUAAGAAUAAGAAGGAUCCCAAAAUCAAAAUCCUCAAGAGUUUAUAAUAGGGUUAAUGUGAUGUCUAAGGUACUGUUGUAACGUUAAUGUUUUUAUUCUCACACCCUUAAUUAAAUGAUAGCUUUUGUUUUGUUUCAAAAAAGAAAAAUUAAUUAAGAAUUCAUAUA